UACGUAUGCAGCGAGCGUUGUUCGGAAUUACUGGGCGUAAAGAGUGUGUAGGCGGUGUUCUAAGUUCGGUGUGAAAUCUCCCGGCUUAACUGGGAGGGUGCGCCGGAAACUGGAGUGCUCGAGCGUGGGAGAGGAAAGCGGAAUUCCUGGUGUAGCGGUGAAAUGCGUAGAUAUCAGGAGGAACACCUGCGGUGUAGACGGCUUUCUGGACCAUUGCUGACGCUGAGACACGAAAGCGUGGGUAGCAAACAGG
rnacentral:rRNA from 1 species